rnacentral:sRNA from 1 species
GUUGGAUACAAGCUGGGCAAAACUCUUGUCUCAAUCCUCCUCGUCUCUUUCCCUAGGGGGACCCUGGUCCUGCUGGCCCCCCUGGACUCAUGGGACCACCGGGCUUUAAGGGAAAAACAGGACAUCCUGGCCUCCCAGGACCUAAGGGUGACUGUGGCAAACCAGGUCCCCCUGGCAGCACUGGCCGGCCUGGCGCAGAGGGUGAACCUGGUGCCAUGGGACCCCAGGGAAGACCCGGUCCCCCCGGCCACGUU